AUUGAACGCUGGCGGCAUGCCUUACACAUGCAAGUCGAACGGCAGCACGGGUGCUUGCACCUGGUGGCGAGUGGCGAACGGGUGAGUAAUACAUCGGAACAUGUCCUGUAGUGGGGGAUAGCCCGGCGAAAGCCGGAUUAAUACCGCAUACGAUCUACGGAUGAAAGCGGGGGACCUUCGGGCCUCGCGCUAUAGGGUUGGCCGAUGGCUGAUUAGCUAGUUGGUGGGGUAAAGGCCUACCAAGGCGACGAUCAGUAGCUGGUCUGAGAGGACGACCAGCCACACUGGGACUGAGACACGGCCCAGACGCCUACGGGAGGCAGCAGUGGGGAAUUUUGGACAAUGGGCGAAAGCCUGAUCCAGCAAUGCCGCGUGUGUGAAGAAGGCCUUCGGGUUGUAAAGCACUUUUGUCCGGAAAGAAAUCCUUGGCCCUAAUACGGUCGGGGGAUGACGGUACCGGAAGAAGAAGCACCGGCUAACUACGUG
rnacentral:rRNA from 1 species